UGAGACCUCUUGAUGGCCGCGGCCGUGAUCUUCAUUGGGAUCGGCUGAGGAACUUCCGGGCUCCAUAGAGCACGAUGGCGGAUAACGUCCGCCCAGGGUGACCUGAGAGAUAGCGCAACAGAGAACAGACCGCCCGUCCUCGACGGGUAAGGGUGAAACGGCGGUGUAAGAGACCACCGGGCCUCUGGUAACAGUAGGUCGCAUGGCAAGCCUCAUCGGGAGCAAGGCCAAGCAGAUGGCGGUAAGGGCUGCUCGCCCGUGUCAUCGGGUAGGCUGCUAGAGCCUGGCGGCAACGUCAGGUCGAGAUGGAUGGCCAUCCGUGCCGUGCGUUCGCGCACGGCCCGCCAGAACCCGGGGUAUAAGAGGUCUCAUUUU
rnacentral:RNase_P_RNA from 1 species